UACGUAGGGGGCUAGCGUUGUCCGGAAUCAUUGGGCGUAAAGAGCGUGUGAGGCGGUCCGGUAAGUCCGCUGUGAAAGUCGGGGGCUCAACCCUCGAAUGCCGGUGGAUACUGUCGGGCUAGAGUGCGGAAGAGGCGAGUGGAAUUCCUGGUGAUAGCGGUGAAAUGCGCAGAUAUCAGGAGGAACACCUAUUGCGAAGGCAGCUCGCUGGGACGUCACUGACGCUGAGACGCGAAAGCGUGGGGAGCAAACAGG
rnacentral:rRNA from 1 species